GACGAACGCUGGCGGCGUGCUUAACACAUGCAAGUCGAACGGAAAGGCCCUGCUUUUGUGGGGUGCUCGAGUGGCGAACGGGUGAGUAACACGUGAGUAACCUGCCCUUGACUUUGGGAUAACUUCAGGAAACUGGGGCUAAUACCGGAUAGGAGCUCCUGCUGCAUGGUGGGGGUUGGAAAGUUUCGGCGGUUGGGGCUGGACUCGCGGCUUAUCAGCCUGUUGGUGGGGUAGUGGCUUACCAAGGCUUUGACGGGUAGCCGGCCUGAGAGGGUGACCGGCCACAGUGGGACUGAGAUACGGCCCAGACUCCGACGGGAGGCAGCAGUGGGGAAUAUUGCACAAUGGGCGGAAGCCUGAUGCAGCAACGCCGCGUGCGGGAUGACGGCCUUCGGGUUGUAAACCGCUUUCGCCUGUGACGAAGCGUGAGUGACGGUAAUGGGUAAAGAAGCACCGGCUAACUACGUG
rnacentral:rRNA from 1 species